AUUGAACGCUGGCGGAAUGCUUUACACAUGCAAGUCGAACGAUGAAGUCUAGCUUGCUAGACGGAUUAGUGGCGAACGGGUGAGUAAUAUAUCGGAACGUAUCCAUUAAUGGGGGAUAACUAGUCGAAAGAUUGGCUAAUACCGCAUACGUCCUACGGGAGAAAGCUGGGGAUCGUAAGACCUGGCGUUAAUGGAGCGGCCGAUAUCUGAUUAGCUAGUUGGUGAGGUAAAGGCUCACCAAGGCGACGAUCAGUAGCUGGUCUGAGAGGACGACCAGCCACACUGGAACUGAGACACGGUCCAGACUCCUACGGGAGGCAGCAGUGGGGAAUUUUGGACAAUGGGCGAAAGCCUGAUCUAGCCAUUCCGCGUGAGUGAAGAAGGCCUUCGGGUUGUAAAGCUCUUUCGCAAGGGAAGAAAACUUAUCCUCUAACAUUGGCUGAGGUUGACGGUACCUUGAUAAGAAGCACCGGCUAACUACGUGCCAGCCGCCGCUGUAAUAC
rnacentral:rRNA from 1 species